CAGUUUGAUUAUGGUUCAUGAUGAACGCUGGCGGCGUGCCUAACCCAUGAAGUCUAACGAUCCCGCUGGGGAGAUUGGCGGAAGGGUGAGUAACACGUCAAUUCUUCCUCGCCGGAAGGAACAACCCUUCUAAAGAGGGGCUAAUACCAAAAGGAUCCGCAUGGAUCACAGUCCCCAAGGGCCUGCCUAGAGGAGUUGCGGCCCAUCUCCUAAUUGGUGGGGUAAUGGCCUACCAAGGCUACAACGGUAGGGGGUCUGAGAGGAUGAUCCCCCACACUGGAACUGAAUCCCCGUCAUAAGCCUACGGGUGGCACCCUGGAGGAAUAUUGCACAAUGGGGGAAACCCCAUCCAGCAACUCCGCAUGAGGGAUGAAGGCCUUCUGGUUGUAAACUCUUUUCACGGAGACGAGCAAGGACUGUAUCCCUGGAAUAAGCCACGGUAAUUACCUGCCUGCUCCCCCCCUGAUACAUGGGUGGACGAUCGUUAUCAGAUUUACUGGCCGUAAAGCGUUCUGUUGCGGCCUUGCACGUUGGGCGUGAUUCUCCGGGGUUAACCCCGAGAGGACUUUCGAUACGUGCCUGGCUAUAGAUGUCAUAGAAAUGUGGAAUUCCUGGUGUACUGGUGAAAUGCUUAGAUUCCGGAGGAACACC
rnacentral:rRNA from 1 species